UGAGCAAAAUGUGGAAUAAUCAGUUGGUUCCAAAUCCUUGAAUAAAAAAAGGCAACAACUCCGACAGAGGGGCAGAAGGGCAAGUAAUGGAAUGGACAUGAACAAGUCGCCAAGAACAGUUACGAAAGAAAGGCCCAGGUCGCAGCAGGUGGAACACACCAGAUCGAGGCUGCCCCACACUUAAUCCAGAGACCUGCCCUGGAUGAGCCAGUCCUCUAGGUAUGGAGAUAGGUGGACCCCACGACACCUGAGGCAAGCCGCUACCAGCAUCAUGCACUGUGUGAACACCCUGGGGGGCCAAAGAGAGGCCAAAGAGCAGCGCCAUGAACUGGAAAUGGUGUGCUCCCACCACAAAACAGAGGAAGCGAAUGUGCUCCAAGAAUACAGAAAUAUAGAAAAAAGCGUCCUUUAUGUCAAGAGCAGCGUACCAGUCUCCCGGAACCAGGGAAGGAAUGAUGGAGGCCCAGGAGACCAUGCAAAACUUCUAUUUCUGGAGAGACU